GCGGCGCCGCGGGGCCUUAGCGGACGGAGGGGAGCGCGGGGGUCACCGGGCCGGGCCGGCAGCCCUAGAGCUCGGCCUGGCGGGGACCCUGGGCCAGCCCCGCGCCUCCGUGGCCCGGGCGUCUCGUGCGUGUCCGCGAACUCGCGUGCGCGCGUCACCUCGGACCGCAGCAUGGCUCGGAGGGCGGCCCUACUCGCGCCGCCCUAGUGCUGCGAAGGGCCUCGGAGCCCAAACCCGGAACCGCCAUCUGGGACUGGGAAGACGACAUGGCCAGAAGCCGGUAAUGUUCCUUUCCCUGGGGGCAGUGCAUUAAAAUGGACCAUUUCACGUGUGCUGGUCUUGUGUGUUGUUGCCUGCGCUAACUUACACGAAGUGGCAACAGGAACAGGCAGCGCAGCACCCGAGCGCCGGGUGGAGAGGCCGGCCGAGCCCGGGGAAAGCGACCUUACUCUGUCACCUGGGCUGGAGUGCAGUGGCGCAAAUUAAAGUGUGCAGUUUGAUACAUCUUGACACAUGUAUACACUGUGAAACCAUCAUCACAAUCAACAGUGAAGAUGUUCCUCCCGUCUCUCUGUAACCCUUUCCUCUCUCCCUCCUUCCCUCCUCCCCCUCCCACCCAUCUGCUUUUUGUCACUAUAGUUUGAAUUUCCUGGAGUUUUUAAAUAUCUUUUUAUACAGACUGGGUCUCGCUUGCUCUGUCACCCAGGCGGGAGUGCAGUGACACGAUCGGGACCCACUGUAGCCUCAAACUCCUGCCCUUAAGCAAUCCAACUGCUUCAGCCUCCCGAGUAGCUGAGACUGCAGGUGAGGACCGCCAUGUCUAGCUUUUUGUUUUUUUUUAAACAUAUGGGGUCUCUCUGUGUUGCCCAGCCUGCUCUGGAACUCCUAGCUUCAAUUGACCCUCUGCCUCAGCCUCCCAAAGUGUUGGGAUUGCAGAUGUGAGCCACUGUGCCCAACCUGUUUUUCUUGGUGUUUUAUAUAAAUGGAAUUGUAUCGCACGUAAUCUUUAGGGAAGUGGGGGCUGUUCAUUGAGCAUAAUUAUGUUGGAAUUCAUCUAUAUAUUGAUAAAUAUUUUAAGUGCUUUUUAUUGCUGAGCGGUGUCUAGGAGUCAUUCUUGCUUACCCUUUCCCACUGCAGCCUUCACUCAAUCUCAUCAAAGAUCUAGCUCCAAUAUAUAAACCAAAUCCAAGCCAUUCCCACGUAUAUUACCCCUGAGCCAUGCUCUCUCACCUAGAUUACAGAUACAGCCUAGUACCUGGUCAUCCUCCAAUCAGUUUUGUCUACAGCCAUGCGAGUCUUCUCUCUAUGCCUUAAAUAAGACAAAUGUAUUCCAGCUCUUUUGAAUAUUUCCAAUUGUGAAAUGUUCCUCUUUAUUUCUAAUAAUGCUUGCUAUUGUCAACUUUGCCUCAUAUGUAAAUAACACCACCAGCUUUCUUUCCUGUGUGUACCUUUAGAGUUAAGUGAGUUUAAGAAGUGUGUGUGUGGCCGGGCGCGGUGGCUCACGCCUGUAAUGCCAGCACUUUGAGAGGCCGAGGCGGGCGGAUUACGAGGUCAGGAGAUUGAGACCAUCCUGGCUAACACGGUGAAACCCCAUCCCUACUAAAAAUACAAAAAAAAAAAAAAAAAAAACUUGGCCGGGCGUGGUGGCGGGCGUCUGUAUUCCCAGCUACUCGGGAGGCUGAGGCAGGAGAAUGGCGUGAACCCGGGAGGCGGAGCUUGCAGUGAGCCGAGAUCCCGCCACUGCACUCCAGCCUGGGCGACAGAGCGAGACUCCGUCUCAAAAAAAGAAGUGUGUGUGUAUGAUGUUUGUUUGUUUGUUUUAGGCAGAGACAGCGUCACUGCAUUCCAGCGAGGUGGAUCACACCUGUAAUCCCGGCACUUUGGGAGGCCAGGGUGGGUGGGUUGCUUGAGCUCAGGAGUUCAUGACCAGCCUGGGCGACAUGGCAAAACCCCAUCUCUAUCAAAAAUACAAAAAAACGGCCAGGUAUGGUGACGUGUGUCUGUGGUCCCAGCUACUCAGGAGGCUGAGGGGAGAGGAUCACUUGAGCCUGGGAGGUUGCUGUGAGCUGAGAUUGUAUCACUGAACUCCAGCCUGGGUGACAGAGUGAGACUGUCUCAAAAAAGCUUUAUAUAUAUUUUUAUAUAUAUGAGUAUUUUAUAUAUACACUAUAUUACAUAUAUUUAUGUAUAAAGCUAUGUAUAUUUGCAUAUAUAUAGCUGAUUUAUACAUAUAAAUAGCUUUUAGUGGUACACUUGAGAUUAUAACAUGCGUUCUUGACUUAUCAAUGUCUAAUGUAAAUUAGUAUUUUUUCCUCUUCCCAGACAAUGCUAAAACAGUUUAUUGGAUAUUUUAGUUAUUUCUGUAUUUAAAACUUCACAAGACACAGUACUGUUGAUGUUCAUUUUGAUGGCCCACAUAUAUGCCACUAUCAUUGUGUUUUAUCCUUCUGUGACUUUCUAGGGUCAUUUCCCUUCCACCUGAAGUACCCCUACUAUUAUUUCCUUUAGAGGAGGUCUGCUGAUCAUCUCAGUUGUGUUUGUCUGAAAAUAUUUGUAUUUAAUUUUUAUUCUUAAAAAAUAUUUUUUCUGAGUAUGGAAUUCUAGGUUGUCAGCUCGUUUCUUUCAACACAUUAAUGAUGUAACUCCACUGUUAUGUGCAUCCAUAUUUUCUGCUGUUUUUUGAAAUAAAUAUUUUCCUCUGACUGCGUUUAAGUGUUUCUCUGUCUUCAAUUUUCUUCAAUUUUACUAUAGUUUAUCUGGAUGUAUAUGCCUUUUUAUUCGUCUUAUUGGGAAUUGAUUAGACUUACUGAGUGUCUGGAUUGUUGUAUGUCUUCAAUUUUGGAAAAUUCUUGGCUAUUAUAUAUUCAAAUACUGCUUCUGCCCAAAUAUCUCUCUUCUAACCUACUAGAGUUUAAUUAAACAUGUGUUGGAGGCCGGGCACUGUGGCUCACACCUGUAAUCCCUACACUUUGGGAGGCCGAGGCAGGCAAAUCAUGAGGUCAGGAGUUCGAG
rnacentral:lncRNA from 1 species